CGACACUGAACAGUUAACAGUGCAUGAUUGUGGAGGAGAUGGUGAGAGGAGCCAGGGCGACAAGGAAGGAGUGGAGAGUGAGGAAGAGGAGCAUCCACCUCCCCGCAAAACUGUGAGGAUGACUCCACUGGAGGAGCUUUUUGCUGACGAAGAUGCUGUAAAGAUGACAUCACUGCAGACCUCCACAUCCAUCCAGGACAGAG